UAAACACUAAUCAAGCUCAUGUCACUUUAGGCUUAGUGUAAACCUUAAAAAAAUGUAUAUAUAGUGUUCAUUUGUUAUUAUGUAGUAGUCGGCUUUUGAAAAUGUUGAUUAGUGACGCCGAAGAGGAUGAAAGUGAGGAGAUGGCUAUGCAGACGGAGGAGCCGUCAAAUACAGUCUCAUCAACAUGUGAGGAGAAAAGGAAUGACAAGCAACCUAACACAAAGCUGUCCCGCAACAAACUCUUAAGUCACUAGUAGGGCAGCCUGCGCCUCCACCUCCGCGUUUAGGAAACCCAUCAGUUAUACCGUAAGAAUGCGGACAUCAUUAUAACAUCCAUAAUGGCCAACAGAGGACCAACAGACUAACAGCAGCAACAACAAUAAUAGGGUUGUUCCUUAUCCAUGCAUCACCUGCCAAAGGGAAGUUCGACCUAAGCAGCAAGCCCUCCAGCAUGAUGGGUGUGAACAGUGGCAGCACCGCACCUGCCACACUGGCAUUUCCCAGGAAGAGUACAGACAAGCUUUGCAGUCAAAGAUAAACAUCCAGUGGACUUGCACAGGAUGUGGUGAUGUCUCUGCUGUAUCCACUACCACUUCACUAACACAACCUGCAACACCAACUACCAUGUCACUGACACAACCAGCUACCACUUCACUAACACAACCAGAAACACCAGCUACCACUCCACUAACACAACCAGAAACACCAGCACCAGUUACACUUCUGUCUACCAGCACACCUACUACAUCACUACCUUGACUUGUCUCAUCAAUGUAUGACUCCUCCUCUGCUUCUGACUCUGAGUCACUCUCAGGCUCCCUACCAAUAACACACUUAUCCUCCUUACCAUCAUAUCUGAAUGCAGACUUUUCACCAGAUGCCAACUUCUUUCCUUCCUCCCCACCUCCAACAGCAUCACCAACAUCAAUGGAACUUCAGCUUGCUUCUCCUGAUGUAAAUAAUAUCGAAGACCACCCUGUAAUUUCAUUCAUUCACCCAUCCUUACAUGAAGAGUCAAACCUGGAACCUACUACUCCUAUUCCAGAUGAAAUACUACCAAAAUCUGAUGAAGAGGAGUUUACCAUUGUAGUUGGAGGAUCAAAGUGCAGAGGAGACAUCCUUGUCAGUUGUGGUUAGUUGUGUAACAAGGAUGGCAAGGUUAACAAGAAAGGUGACCAAUGUUGGAGAUGUACUGUCUGCAACAAGUCUGUGAACUGCCUUGCUUCUAUCACCCAGCAUGGUGAAACAUUCAAGAUAGGGCCUCAUCCUCAUAGAUGUUCUCUCUGAGAGACUGUGCCCUGCCUGCUGCCAACAUCAAGGCCUAUGUGCGACAACAAGGAAAAGAGCGCCCAUUUGCUUCAGGAUCGACCCUUGCGAAAGAAGCAGUACACAGACACCUGCCAGCUGAUGCACCUUUGUCCAGCAUGCCGAAGAUGUCAUCUAUUGUUCGCACCACCGAUCGUCUACACCAGGCAAGGAGACUAAAACAGCUGAAGGAUCUGAACUUCACUUGGGUAACAGAAGAACUGCCCGACAACUUUGUACAGCAUGAUAUGACAGUAGAAUCUGCCCGCCAUGUGAUCAUGUUCACUUCCCUGCUUCUUUCCCUUCUUUCCAAGGCAAAGACGUGGUAUGUGGAUGCAACUUUUAAGGCAGUCCAGCAACCAUUUCAGCAGUUGUGGAGCAUCCACAGUUUUAUUCGGCAAGGUGACAACAUGAAGUAGGUGCCUCUUGUUUAUGUCCUGAUGUCAUGCAGAAGUAAAGAUGAUUACACAAAGAUUUUGGAUUACAUCAUGGAAAGAAUUCCCAGUAAUUUAGUCAAGAGAGUUGUCAUGGAUUUUGAGUCUGCCGUGUGGGGAGCCUUCCAGAGAGUAAAACCCAAUGUCACCCUUACUGGAUGUUGCUUUCAUUGGACCCAGGCAGUGUGGAAAAA